AGGAUUUCAUGUUACAACUCAUGUAUUGUUCGUGGCAUGAUAUUUUAUAUAAGGGAUCUUGAUAUGUAGAGGCAGACUCAAAAUAGUAGAAUUUUGAUGUUAGAAACCAAUGGAGAUAAUGAGAUUGAAUAUUAUGGUAUCCUAACAGACAUUAUAUAGUUAAGAUAUGGGUCAAAAUGACUUUUUUGCCUGUUUAAAUGCC
rnacentral:lncRNA from 1 species